ACACGUAAACAACCUGCCUUCAGGAUGGGGACAACAGACGGAAACGGACUGCUAAUACCGAAUAAGUUCCAAGAGCCGCAUGGCCCAUGGAAGAAAAGGUGGCCUCUACCUGUAAGCUAUCGCCUGAGAGGGGUUUGCGUCUGAUUAGCUGGUUGGAGGGGUAACGGCCCACCAAGGCGACGAUCAGUAGCCGGUCUGAGAGGAUGAACGGCCACACUGGAACUGAGACACGGUCCAGACUCCUACGGGAGGCAGCAUG
rnacentral:rRNA from 1 species